rnacentral:rRNA from 1 species
GUGGCGAGUGGCAGACGGGUGAGUAAUGUAUCGGAACGUGCCUAGUAGCGGGGGAUAACUACGCGAAAGCGUAGCUAAUACCGCAUACGCCCUACGGGGGAAAGCAGGGGAUCGCAAGACCUUGCACUAUUAGAGCGGCCGAUAUCGGAUUAGCUAGUUGGUGGGGUAACGGCUCACCAAGGCGACGAUCCGUAGCUGGUUUGAGAGGACGACCAGCCACACUGGGACUGAGACACGGCCCAGACUCCUACGGGAGGCAGCAGUGGGGAAUUUUGGACAAUGGGGGAAACCCUGAUCCAGCCAUCCCGCGUGUGCGAUGAAGGCCUUCGGGUUGUAAAGCACUUUUGGCAGGAAAGAAACGUCAUGGGUUAAUACCCCGUGAAACUGACGGUACCUGCAGAAUAAGCACCGGCUAACUACGUGCCAGCAGCCGCGGUAAUACGUAGGGUGCAAGCGUUAAUCGGAAUUACUGGGCGUAAAGCGUGCGCAGGCGGUUCGGAAAGAAAGAUGUGAAAUCCCAGAGCUUAACUUUGGAACUGCAUUUUUAACUACCGGGCUAGAGUGUGUCAGAGGGAGGUGGAAUUCCGCGUGUAGCAGUGAAAUGCGUAGAUAUGCGGAGGAACACCGAUGGCGAAGGCAGCCUCCUGGGAUAACACUGACGCUCAUGCACGAAAGCGUGNGGAGCAAACAGGAUUAGAUACCCUGGUAGUCCACGCCCUAAACGAUGUACACUAGCUGUUGGGGCCUUCGGGCCUUAGUAGCGCAGCUAACGCGUGAAGUUGACCGCCUGGGGAGUACG